rnacentral:rRNA from 1 species
UACGUAGGGUGCAAGCGUUAUCCGGAAUUAUUGGGCGUAAAGAGCUCGUAGGCGGUUUGUAGCGUCUGCCGUGAAAGUCCGGGGCUCAACUCCGGAUCUGCGGUGGGUACGGGCAGACUAGAGUGAUGUAGGGGAGACUGGAAUUCCUGGUGUAGCGGUGAAAUGCGCAGAUAUCAAGAGGAACACCAGUGGCGAAGGCGAGUCCCUGGACAAUACCUGACACUGAGGCACGAAAGCUAGGGGAGCAAACAGG